rnacentral:tRNA from 1 species
AAGCCUGCAGCUAUGUAGCCUUGGUUUUGCAAAAACCAGUGAAGACUUUAGUCUCAGGUUUU